ACUACGGGUGGCAGCAGUGAGGAAUAUUGGUCAAUGGGCUUACGCCUGAACCAGCCAAGUCGCGUGAGGGAAGCCUGCCCUAUGGGUUGUAAACCUCUUUUGUCAGGGAGCAACGCCGGCUACGUGUAGCCGGACUGAGAGUACCUGAAGAAAAAGCAUCGGCUAACUCCGUGCCAGCAGACGCGGUAAUAGGGAGGAGGCGAGCGUUAUCCGGAUUGAGUGGGGUUAAAGGGGGCGUAGGCUGAAUGCAAAGUCAGCGGUAAAAUUGCGUGGCUCAAACUCGCUCAGCCGUUGAAAAUGGCGUUCUUGAGUGGGCGAGAAGUAUGCGGAAUGCGUGGUGUAGCGGUGAAAUGCAUAG
rnacentral:rRNA from 1 species